rnacentral:misc_RNA from 1 species
CCGAGUUUACAACUCCCAAACCCCUGUGAACAUACCUAUACUGUUGCCUCGGCGGAUCAGCCCGCGCCCCGUAAAAAGGGACGGCCCGCCGCAGGAACCCUAAACUCUGUUUUUAGUGGAACUUCUGAGUAUAAACAAACAAAUAAAUCA